UACGUAGGGUGCAAGCGUUGUCCGGAAUUAUUGGGCGUAAAGAGCUCGUAGGCGGUUGGGUAAGUCGGGUGUGAAAACUCCAGGCUCAACUUGGAGACGCCACCCGAUACUGCUCUGACCUGAGUUCGGUAGGGGAGUGGGGAAUUCCUGGUGUAGCGGUGAAAUGCGCAGAUAUCAGGAGGAACACCGGUGGCGAAGGCGCCACUCUGGGCCGAAACUGACGCUGAGGAGCGAAAGCGUGGGUAGCAAACAGG
rnacentral:rRNA from 1 species